rnacentral:rRNA from 1 species
AUUAAAAAUUGCCAGCAUUCAAUUGGGCACUUUAGUGAGACUACCGGUGACAAACCGGAGGAAGGUGGGGACGACGUCAAAUCAUCAUGCCCCUUAUGACCUGGGCUACACACGUGCUACAAUGGAUGGUACAACGAGUCGGGAAACCGCGAGGUUUAGCUAAUCUCUUAAAACCAUUCUCAGUUCGGACUGUAGGCUGCAACUCGCCUACACGAAGUCGGAAUCGCUAGUAAUCGCGGAUCAGCAUGCCGCGGUGAAUACGUUCCCGGGCCUUGUACACACCGCCCGUCACACCAUGAGAGUUUGUAACACCCAAAGCCGGUGGGGUAACCUUUUAGGAGCUAGCCGUCUAAGGUGGGACAGAUGAUUAGGGUGAAGUCGUAACAAGAGCCUGCCC